AUUAUUGGGGAUAGUAUGGCGCGCCACACUCCUGCCUGUGCCGGGCGCUCCCUGUCUGUGAAUGGGUGGAGCAGAGUGUCUGUCUGGUGCCAGCAUCAAGGAAAAGGUCAAGCAAGAGACUAAGGAAAUGGAAGACUGUAUGCUGAUAGAUGAUUGUCCAUGGUGGUGAAAUCAGCUGCAGGAAAAUGGAGUGGAUGUCACCGUGAAAGAAAUGAUGCUGUGAUAUCUGCAGAGAUGAAUGUAGCAGUGGUAGGAAUUCUGAGACGACUGCGAGAAAGUAUGAAGUACGAGAGGCUGAGAAGAGCAACAAACAAGAGGCUGUGUGAAGAAAGAAUGAAGAUAAAAGAUGAAGUGGAUGAACGAGAAAAGCUGAAACUUGAACUUCUUAGUGUGCCAGAUGUGUGACGUGGGAGGUGAUGAGAUGGUGGAGUAUGUGAUGCUGGAGUGUGUGAGAUAUGCCGGAGAGGGGGAUGAGAUGAUGCAAGUAGUGGUGAGGGAAUUGCGGAAUGCCAGAGUGAAGACAGGAAGGGAAUGGAUGGUGCUGCUGGUGGGACUGUGUGGAGAUGAAUGAAAGGAUGCUUGAGGCUGUGAAGUGUGAAGGAGUGUUUUUUUUUUUUUAUUGUGGCAUGGUAGAUGUAGGAACUAUGUGGUGUGAUAGAUGCUGUCUGUUUCUUGCUUGCUGCUUUUCUUUUUCUUUUUUUUUUUUUUUAACCUGCAGGAGUUACCGACAGAACGGCUGGCUCAGGAGUGAUCCCGAGCCACCUGUACUCCAAAACUCAAGAUCAAGAUUAUGUGAGAUACGGAGGCUGAGAGCAGUAAUUUCUACCCGAAACUCUGACUAUUCCCUACUCGAUAAAAAGAUGAAUGGAGAACUUCAGACCAGGUUAUGUCAGGUGUGGAGUCACAUCUUGAGAGACCCAAUAGGAUGGAUAUUUGGGCAGAUGCACUCGCUUCCAGGUGGCCUUUGAGGGAGUCUCCUUCAAUGGAGGCUUCACGCUGGAUGACUUCAAGGUGUACGCUGCAACUUGUUCGAAAAGACCAUGAGAUCCUAGUCCUUCUUUCCCUCGUUCGUGAAGGGGUGUGUCCCUUUCCUUACAGCUAAGCAUGACAUGAGGUGAGGGUGACAACAGCAACCAGUAUCAGAGGACAUGACAUCCUUGUGAUGGCUCUGGGCUGAGUCCAUGGAUGGGAUACUCAAAAUGGCUGUAAACUUUUGGUGUGCCAUGUGCCCUCGUUAUCUUAUGGUGCUGUAAGUUACAGCUCAGCUGUGGAGGAAGGGAGCCAUGGGGCUGCUGACACUCUGCUGGGACUUGAUACUUGCGCCUGGAGGAUUUCAGACACAGGCUUCUAUGAGCAGCACUGCAUCAGCUCCUUGAUUACUCAUUGGCACCUCUGAUGGGCUUCAGUAAUGCUGGCACUUGCCUGGCACUCCAUGUCUCCACACACUUCAAGAGUCUUAUAUUCUCCAACUUCCCUGAUGCUGUGGCCAAGGUUUUGCUCUCAGGAUGAACCCUCAGAAGAUGCCAAGCUUCCCAUAUUUGUCAAGAGCUGGAGGUUCCUACACACCACAAGAGAAUUGCAUGAGUAUGUCAGCGCUGAAUCUGAAGAGCAUUGCCUUGUCAGACUUUGUGGAUAUGGACUGUGAUGGAUUGUAGGAAGUGGUGGUGACAGAUGUUGAUGGAUAUCUGCUAUGUUAGUAUGUGUAUUGUGUGUGAUGAUUCCUGUGCCCUGGUUCCAUUGUAGCAGGCGUGGAGGUGCUCCUGUGUCUGUCACCUUAUGAGGGCAUAGACGCAGACAGCACUGCCUCUUCCAUCACUGUUGACCCAAGUGAGAUGCAACCCAGGGCACCUUUUCAUCUUGUUCCUAUGAAUACAAGGUGUGAAAUGCUGGCUAGCUUACACAAGGCAUGGCAUUUCUGGUCGACUGCCAGAACAUAAGAAACUUGACACAUUAAAGGAUGUAGAGGAAGAUACAAGAGAGUGACCCAAGAAACAAUUCAAAGCAUGACAGAAGAUGACAGAAGAGUGAUCUGUUAUUCAAAAGCAUGACAGAUCCUAAGAAGAAGACAACAGAGAAGAACUACCUAAGAAGCAAUUCAAUGCCUAACAAGUCCAAAGAAGAAGAAAAGGAGAAAAAAAGACAAGAGAAGAGUGACCUAAGAAGUGAUUCAAAACAGCAAGUCCAAAGAAGAAGAGAAGAAAAGUAAGGAGAAAAGCAGAAGAACAUGAGUGACUUAAGAAACAAUACAAACUACAACAGGUCCAGAGAGGAAGAAGACCAGACUUUACUCUUAUUUUGCCUCUGAUUCAUCACUGCACCACUCAUCAUCCUCUUAGCCGUGGCCUGUGAGUUGGCAUUCAUCAUUCAUGUAUUUAUGAUGUGAUGGAAUAGCUUGGCUUGGUGGGAAAACUUAUGUAUAAUUAGUGUAUGACGUGAUGUUUGAUGCAGGGUGGUGGUGGUGCGGAGAGAGAGAGAGAGUGUGUGUGUGUGUGUGUGUGUGUGUGUGUGUGUGUGUGUGUGUGUGUGUGUGUGUGUGUGUGUGUGUGUGUGUGUGUGUGUGUGUGUGUGUGCGUGCCCGAUUGACUGACUAUCUCCUCUUCCUUCAUGCUCUUGUUUUUUUUUUCCUUAUUUCUUUCUCUAAAACUAUGGUUUCCUCCAUUUCCUCCACAUGCUGUCUCUUUCUCUCCACAAACUCUUCCACAUUCUUACUGUAUUUUCAUUGUACUUCCAUACUCCAUUGUUUUCUUUAAAUUUCCUUCGCAUAUAAUAUUUUCACAUUAUCACCCCCCUCUCUCUCUCUCUCUCUCUCUCUCUCUCUCUCUCUCUCUCUCUCUCUCUCUCUCUCUCUCUCUCUCUCUCUCUCUCUCUCUCUCUCUCUCUCUCUCUCUCUCUCUCUCUCUCUCUCUCUCUCUCUCUCUCUCUCUCUCUCUCUCUCUCUCUCUCUCUGGAUGUCUUUGUACCACGAGAUAGUAAUGAUAAUUAUAAUUGAUAGAGGAAGAAGGAAAAUAGAUAGUAUAGGAGAUGUUAUUGAUAAAGAAGAGGAUAUUAAUGAAAAAAAAAAGGAUAAAGGAAGAGGAGGGGGAAAGAAGAUGAAGUAGAAUAUGAUGCUGAUAAAGAAGGGAAUGCAGAGGAAGAUGAUUAAGAAGAGGAAGAAGAGAUGCUGAAGAGGCGCUGGGUUUGUUGCUUUAAAACUAAUAAACAAUUCCAUUCUGCUUGUGACAUUUAUUAAGGGAUCCAAAUAAAGUACAGGAAUUAAGAGAAAUUAGAUAAUAAGAUGCUGAGAUAUGAACAAAUGCGAGGUAGAAAUUGAAGGACGUGUGAUGAGGCUGGGGCGCGCACACGUAUACAUGAUAAUUUACCACGUUCUAUAAUUCAAUAUAUACUUAUCAUUUAAUUGCGAUCGGUUGUUCAGAGCAGUAUUAUUCCUCGCAUGAAGCACCAUUAUUCCUCUCAUUAAUAUAUUUGUAUCUACGUAAUGGACGGAAAAUAAAAUGUCAGUAUUUAAGCAACAUGCAGAAACGGGCUUUACAUUUCACUCUUAAGUUUGUGAAAUAAAUUGAAUGUACAUCUGUUUAAGUCCUUUAUACUAAUAGAAAAAUUAAAUAAAGGGGAAGGGAGGAAAACGAGUGUAGCGAUAAGGAAAAAAAAAAAAAUGAAAACAAAAACUAAACGCUGGAACUAUUUCCCAGAGGAACCUCGUGUAAGUGUUAUGAAUAAUGAAAACAACACGUUUUAUUAUUAAUCUCCUUUUCCUGGAAUGCCGAGUGUGCUCUGAUAAUUAAAUGCAAUGAUGUGUUUACCUUCCCACGUGAAAGUAGAGGCAAACAAGAUCAAUAAAUAAUUUAGGUCAGAAUCACGGGGCAAUGUUGACCGACUGGAGGUUAAACACACGCGAUGAGCCGAAGGAAGAGGACGUUUGAAAUAUUGCAGAAUAAUUAGUGAAAACAGCCGUUUACGUGUGUCUAAUGGGACCCCGCAGCUACCUCUGGGCAUGAAAGAAUGACUGGCAGCCCGGGAAUAAAUAAGAUAAGUAUGACUUCUGUGUGGCUGAGUUCGUUUCUGUGCAUCCAGGUGAAACAGAACAGAGGCUGUGGUCAAGACGAGGACAAAACCAUCCCCUUGAAAAACACGUCCUUUUGCUCCCCAGGGACGAGAGAGAGAGAGAGAGAGAGAGAGAGAGAGAGAGAGAGAGAGAGAGAGAGAGAGAGAGAGAGAGAGAGAGAGAGAGAGAGAGAUGAAUGAGCGAAAGUUUAAAAAAGGAAAUGCAUAAUUGAAUCAAAGUGCAGAAUGAAGUCCUUACUUUUCUCCCCAAAAUCAGUUUUAGAACUAAUCAGAAUCGUCUCUGUGAAAAUGUCCCACUCGUUAGAAGGAGGAAGAGGAGGAGGAGGAAGAGGAGGAUGAGAAAGAAGAGGAGGAAGAGGAGUUUUGAGAUGAAAGCAAGGACUAAUAGGACAAGAGAGUGAAGAGCAAAAGAAGGAGCAUAAAGAGGGGAAACUUUUUAUGAACAUUUAGAGGACGAAAAUGAAAGAACAACAAGAGAAAGCAAAGGGGGGAAGAGAGGGAGGAGGAAAAGAACAGGUGAGAAAAAAUAAAAGGAAAAAAAAGAAGAAAGUGGGGAAGGGUACUUAAAAGAAUGGAGAAGAGUAAGAAAAGUGAGAACGGCGAAGGAAGGAAGGAAGGAAGGAAGGAAGGAAGGAAGGGGAGAGGAAAGGAGAACUAGAAAGAAAAAUAAAAAAAGAAAAGCGAAGAAGAGAAGUAAAAAAAAAAAAAUGCUGAACAGAAAACGUGAAGAGGCAAGAAAAGAGGAUUAGAAAAAAGAAGAAAGAAAAAACUGAGGAAAAGGAGAACAGGUAAAAUGAACGUGAAGAGGCAAGGAAGGAAGAUUAGAAAGAAGAAAAAAGGAAGGAAGAACAAGAGAAAAAAAGAAAGACUAUCAAGAAAAAGAGAAAGAAGGAGAGGGAGAAAACCGUCAUUCUCUUACAUAACAGGUUCUCAUCUCCCUCGAGAGCUUCACAUUUUGGCCAACCUGUCUUCACUUUUAUCUGGCCCUCCCUCACCGUCCCUCAGAGCACCGUUGUCCUAAGCCUGAGGUGUUAUGUUGCACCUGCUCUGCAUUCACACCUGUCCCUCAUCCCCUCACGUGCAGCGCAGACUAAUGUAAUGCCUCGAAUUUCGUUUAGUUUUGUUCGUGUUAACUUUGCUCAUUUGAACAUUGCUGAAUAUUUCGUCGUUGUUUCUUGUAUUUAAUCAGUUGUGGUGGAUGUUUUGUUUUGGGUUUUAAAGGAUGUAAUGGUUUUAGUGGUGGCUUAAUAAGGGUUCUGUGGUAUUGUUGGGAAGAAACACCCUUGAGAACACGAGUAAUCAUUUCUGUGGCCUUCGAACAUUGUCCUGAUAAGAGAAGGAAAAGAAAAAAUUAGGGCACUGAAGAAAAAAAAAGUGUUUGGAUAGAGAAAGAAUUGUUUGAAUUUUUGUUAGAUAACUAUUUAAGAGACAAGUACUCAAGUGUGUGUCUGAAAAAGUGGUAGUAGGAGAAUGUGGAGAAAAAUGGACUAGCUGGAAAGGGAUUGAGAUGAAUAUAGUUUGUUUUGAUUGGUUAUUUUUUUUGUUUCCUUGACUACAUAACUUAUUAAGAGAGAAAUACAAAAGUUACGUUUUUAGAAAGUAGCAAGGGAUUGUUUAAAAGAUUUGUCUACCAACGAUAUGGCUCGUGUUUCUAGUUACAUUUUGCACUUCUUGGUUCACGAAUACAAAAAAUACACGUUUACGAAUGAGUGAAUUGUGUAUUGUGUAGCAAA